CAGUACUUCGCGACUUUCUUAGCCUUGAACAAAAAUCGAGACUGCAAGACAGCUUUGUGAGAAAAAUCAAGACUGCGAGACACACAUAACAGCUAAAAAACAAGACUGCGAGACCUGUGAAAUUUGGCAAAAAUGUUGCGAGACUAAUGGUUUUUGAAGGACCAUUCGUCACCCCUAGUGCCAUCAGUACAGAGUAAAUGAUGCAUUGCAUAAAUUAGUAUCUUUAGAACAUAAAGGAAAAAAGAGUCUACUCCCAUAUGCAAUGUACUUAAAUGUUGGAACAAAUUUGUUUGGUGACUGGUCUCAAAAUAAAUCCUCUAUUUCAGUUAUACAAGAAAUGAGAUAAUUGCUGUUACAGGCCAUUUAAACACUAGCAAAGAGGGUUUGGGAUAUUUUUAACGAGAGAAAACUGUUUUCACAAACCAAUGUGCUGGGCUGACACGACUGGCGGCCGUUGAAACACUCAAGUGCAAACAAUCCAAAUAACUUUCAUUACUUCGUUUCAUUACAGGUAUGAUAAUUUUGAUAACGACGAAAAGCGACGAGUGGCAUUGAUGAAAAUGGAAGUCUUCCAUUAUAUUUUGUAAAUAUGUGAAUCAAGUGCAAAUUUAUUUGGAAAGGACCAGUGGAAAAUUGAGGUGUUUACUGUUUGCCACAACUAAUAUCAAAAUUAGCAAACAUUUCCAUUUAUCAUGGUCAAUCUUUUCAGGGUGUUUAGAUCACCGAACCACCCAGCCCAAGGGAUUGUAAUUAUUUGCUAAAAUAAUUUGAGUCGCUAGUUUAACCAAAGAUGAUACCAAGGUUAGUGAAACCACCAGAAUUUUAAAUUUUUAUUCAUCCCUAUUUAUAGCUGUGUCAAAUUAACCAUUGCUUUGCUUGAGUAACUGUAUGCUUCAGCAGAAUUCUUGUUUUCCAAAAUGAUAAUCCCACAAACUUAAUACUGGAUAUGGUCCUUGAUACAAAAUUUAGACUUUCAUUAAUAUAUAAAGACAGAAGGUGUAUCUUAGGACGAAGCAAAAACCAAAACUAUGCAGUAUUUAAUGUUCCGUGACCAAUGCAAUACAUCCAUGCUCUGUGGUUUCUGUGGUUGAAGAUCUCACUCGUGAAUGGUUAUUACACAAUAAACAUUCCAGACAUAUUUUAGGCUUUCACGGUUUUGUGAGUUUGACUGUAAUAAGUAUUUCUUUGUAAAAUAGCGUUUCCUGUGUUUUACAAAUACAUAAUUGGGAAACUUUGCUUGAACCCCUAACAGGUAAGCUGUUUGUGGUAUUUCUGUGUUAUGUAGUUUUGACUUGCAGGAGUCACAACCAGAAAGUGGAACAUAAAAGAUUUUGUUUACUCACAUCACUCCUCUCCUCUUGCAAAGCAAGCUUAAAAUGCAUAGGGCUGUUUGUACUUCAAGCAACACCAUUUACUUAAAUCUGUUUGGUCUUCAAUUUUCAGGGUAGUUAAUUUUUCAGACAUUCUAAGGCGUCACCCACUAUAUUUAGUAUAUCCAUAUGAAGUGGGAGAAGUUGUGUUCUUGCUAAAAAAAAAAAUUUUGCUCCCUCUUUCUGAAUUUUCUGUAUCUACCUCUAGGUUUGAUCAUUGACAAAAGAGCAUGCAUUUUAAAUGUAAUGGAAAUUUUGAUCAUGUAACAAAAAAACUGUCUCCUCUGCUUGAUGACAUUCUUAUUCCUUGCCACCUUCUUAAGCAGAAAGACAGCAUUUUAAUUAAUCAUUAUAUCCUUUAUUGGUUAUACUCAGUUCCUAAUCUCUACCAUAUCUCCCCCAAAAAUAUCAAAAGUUAAUAGUAUACCCUUGUGUAAAGUUGGAGAUUUUUGUCUCUUACUUCAAGAUACAAUUAGAUCUCUUCACUCCUGCUGCAAUGGUUUGCACCAUCUCCCAAAGUAAGCAUCAGCAGGGUGCGAAGAAAUGAAAACCAAUUUUUUGGCCUAUCCUCUCUGCAAGCUGUAACUAUACCAUACUUGCCUAAAAGUCAUUCUCCCUAGCCCCCCAAAAUUUCAUCUCUCACAGUACUUGUGUAAUUUGAUUUCCUCAAAAUAUUUCUCAAGGAACUGCUAGGCUUUGUGCUAUCAGACACAACUUUCUUUGCAAGCUAAUAAGUUCAGAAGCUAAAAGUUAUUUUUCUUGAGUCAAACAAUUCCUUCAUGUACAUGUAGAAGGAGUUGCUGUUUUCCCUCGGCUGAUAAGCCUUACAGGCAAUACAGGUACUUAAAUAAUUAAGCUAUUUAGUGAACUACUAGGUUCUAAUUUGUUUGAAAUACAAUUAAUAUUGAGACGUUAAUGCUAAAAAAACAUUCAAUCUAGGACUCAAAUCUUACCCAAUCUGACCUCAAGGAUGCAAUCUUCGUUUGCACGUGACAUCAUCAUUUCCUAACAUCCAAAACUAAAGAGCUGGCCACCAAUAUAUAUCUUUUAACAACUUUUUGGCUUGAUAGCUUGCUUUGUCUGGAAAUGAGCACAUUUUGAAUUUCAGAGUUAUGCGUAACAUAAAGCUACAAACGAAUUUGGCAAAAAAUAUUUACUUAUCUCGUGAUAUUUAGCCUUUUUAGAAGUUAAAGUAUUAGGAAAAGUGCUUAUUUAGAUGUUUGCUUGUUGAAUUCAGAUAAUCAGCCACCUAGACAUCCAGAGUAAGUUCCAGAUGUUUACACUAUUUUCCUGCUGCGAUAUUGAUGUACAAUGGAGGCACACCAACAUGGCGGCCUCAUACUGGGCUCUGUAAAUUUGUGCAAAAUAUUUUGACAAAUAUCUGAAGCUUGGGAAAAUGCGCAGCCUGUAGAGCUAAAACCUGGAAGUGUCUUCUUUAUUUAUCGCCUAUAACAUCACAAUGUUUUGAAUUUAUCCACUGAAUGGUUAAUUCGAAUUAAUUUUUUUAUUGUGUGAUAGUGCAAAUGAAGAAUACCAGCUCUAGAACUCUAUGUCUACUUUUUUUCCAAAUUUAGCUAAUUAAAAGUCAUUUGCUUUUAUGCUUAUUUAAAGUUUUCAUCAGCAAUGUAUAUGCUCUCAUGAAAAAUCAGCGCAUGCAUCAUGUUUAUCAGUACCAUAGUUACAUCUUGUAUCAUUAAUUGUCGAGUGCUGUUUGAGAAGGAUCAAGAACCAUUCAUUUGAUGUAUUUCAUGUGAUCUAAAGAGUUCAUGCAAGCCUUUUUUGUUGUCUUGCAGGUAGGAUUGUCAAAGCUUAAUCAGCAGUUCUGGAGUAUGUAAAUUUGGUAUCUCUCUUACUUUUUAUAAUCGCAAUCAACAAAUGACACUGGAAGAUCUUCCUUUCUUUGCUGAGGCGAUGUCGUCCACUAUUGCAAUAGGCCAAUUACAUCCACCUUCAUAGCGGAGCUCCUGGCAGCUGCCACCAAGCGGAGCCCCAUAACUAUAGAAACAGAACCACAUGCAUGCAUAGAAAUAGAAAACCAUACAACUCUUUUUUCAUGGUCAACAUGGCUAGUGGUGUGGAUUGUGGUGCUUGCGCCCAACGAUGCCAAUGACGCGGAACAUGGCGGCCAUACUCCAGCUAAUAGCAAGUCAUGCAGCCUUGAUUUAAUCAAACAUAAUUUAUGAUUUUGGACAUCCAUGUUAUGGUCAAUUGACAGCUGUCAAAACAAGGUAUCCACUGACCAGUAUCAUGUGACAGUAUCAUGGGCUCAAGUUUAGAGCUCAUCAAGGUGACAUGUUUGUUUGAAAGUUGACCACUGACCAAGUACCAGUUUUCGAUUAGAUCAUGGGCUCAAGCUAGGUUAACUUGUUAAUCAGUUUUUCACUGCUUAUGUUUUAUGUAGUUUGAGAUUAUUGAAACUCAAAACAGAAGGCCAGACAUUACAAACAGAAAACCUCAAAAACUCAAAUCAAAAUUUUUGCUUAUCCUGUGUUAGCUUGAUCGGGCUUUGAGCAAACCAGCCCAGGAGCUCCACUUUUAGGCUUGGCUAAAUCUAUAUGUUACAAUGUUUACAAUUGACUCAGUGGUGGCGUGAAUUUGUGCAUGUAUUUUAUAGCAUAAUCAUGCAUUGCUAUUUGCCUUUAUGCUGUUCAUCUAUCAACAUUUCAGUUUUUUUCAUAAAAUAUGCUACCUAAUACUAAUACUAAUACUACCUUUUGAAAAUUACUGCAAUUCUACAUAGCCUUAGGACACUUCCCAAAAGUGACUGUAAAAAGAUACAGUUAAAGGUAUGACAGCUGUACAGUAUUAAGAACAGCAUACAGGAAUAUAAUGAGGUCCAUUCCCUACUGCAAAAUUGCAACAUUCACAAUAACAAAAUUCCUCUGACAUAAAUGGUAAAAAUAACACUUUGUUAAUGAAUAUUUAUAUGUAGGCUUCCAAUAAUAACUUUAUAAUUCAACUUCAAUAAUUGAUGUGUUUUAUUUUUUCCUACGCUAAGAUUGUGGAUUACAGGGACUGUUAACUACUGGGUGACUCCAUUAAUUAUAAAAUUUUGACACUAAAUUAUGUCAAAAAUUAAUAAGUAAGCUAUAAGUAAGUUAUACUUGCCUUCACUACAUGCAGACAAUUGAACACACUCGGAGGGUGUGAUGUAUACAUGUAUGUCCAUUUGGUCAGCUGAGCCAUAUGUUUAAUAAACACAUCAGUAACAUUACA